GUCGCUGUAGCUCAGUGGAUAGAGCGAACGUUUUCUAAGCGUGCUGUCGGAGGUUCGAAUCCUCCCAGCGACA
rnacentral:tRNA from 1 species